UCGACAUAGUUUCAUUGUUUUUAGUAAUAUUGGCAUAGAAAUCAAAAUGUAGACGAUUUUAAUAACUGCAAGGGUAAAUAAACUUCGGCUUUCCUAGUUUAGGUCAUUUUCAAGGUAAACAAAAAUCAUUACUGAGAUAAGCAAAGACAAUUCGUGCUUGAAUUUCUUUAUGACGUCAUCCGUGUUUUUUUCGGCUUCGCUCAGCUGUCAAAAACAACAAAGUUAUGUAAAUUCUUCUAUACAUUAUUUAAUCGUUCCCAGGGCAUCUAUAAGAUUAAAAUGAAAUAGUAUUUUUGAGAUAGAAAAUAAUAGGGUGGGUUAGGUAAGAAAAUGGGGUUAUGUCAAAUUUUCUAUUAAUUUUUCGAUCUUUUUUUAGGCAGUUGCACCUGUAGAGGGUACUUAAAUUAUGGUCGGAUGUUUGCAACGCAAUGAAGAUGACAUUUCCGACGCUGUAAAUUUUAUUCGCCUGUGAGGGAUUAUUCGAAAACAAAGAGUGCUGCACCAAACUUUGAAGAAUAAAUUACAUUUCUGAAGAUACUGUAAUAUAAAAGAGAUGUAAUUUAUAAAUACUUCAAACAAAAUAAAAAUAAACUAAAUUGCAAAAAA